CCUACGGGAGGCAGCAGUGAGGAAUAUUGGUCAAUGGACGAGAGUCUGAACCAGCAAAGUAGCGUGAAGGAUGACUGCCCUAUGGGUUGUAAACUUCUUUUAUAUGGGAAUAAAAUGUUCCACGUGUGGGAUUUUGUAUGUACCAUAUGAAUAAGGAUCGGCUAACUUCGUGCCAGCAGCCGCGGUAAUACGGAGGAUCCGAGCGUUAUCCGGAUUUAUUGGGUUUAAAGGGAGCGUAGGUGGAUUGUUAAGUCAGUUGUGAAAGUUUGCGGCUCAACCGUAAAAUGGCAGUUGAAACUGGCAGUCUUGAGUACAGUAGAGGUGAGCGGAAUUCGUGGUGUAGCGGUGAAAUGCUUAGAUAUCACGAAGAACUCCGAUUGCGAAGGCAGUUCACUGGACUGCAACUGACACUGAGGCUCGAAAGUGUGGGUAUCAAACAGGAUUAGAUACCCCUGUAGUC
rnacentral:rRNA from 1 species